CUCUUUUUAAUUAUAUCUCUUCCACUGUCUCUUCUUCUAGUUCCACUCUUCCUGUUUCAGUAACACUCAGUUGUUCUUUGUCUCUAUACUUGUCUCUGAACCUCAUUGUACCUUGCUGUCUCUGUGAUAACUUCUAUUUUUCCUUGUCCCUGAAGUGUCCCCGAAGCCCCCUCUGAUCACUCUCCUCCAACUUUUCCUCCACUUCCACCAAGACACAUGUACACAUUCCAUGUGCCUGAACAUCAUUGUCCUGCUUUUCAAGACCUUGCUCGGCUGCCCUCUAUUCUGUGACAUGUGAUCUGAUGAGAUUGAACCAGUCAAGUGAGUGGGGCUUAAAAUCUUGUAUUCUGGCAGGAUAUUCUCUACUCCAUUUAGCAUUUCAUGGCUUACCUUUAAUUUGGUGAUUUACAAUUUUUUUUCUCUAAUAAGUAGAACCUAUAGACUAUAAUCUUCCCAAGGCCUCAGGUACAAAUGUAGGUAGAAUUGCCCUGGAGUGGACACCUUCCUACCGUGUCUGGCUGUACUGAGCAACAGGCAGCACGCCAGCCCUGAAGUACAGAUCCAUUGUUAGAUUCUAUUGUGAUGACCGUUGCAAAUGUGGUUCAUUUUCUGGCAAGUUAUUUAGCUCUUCCAAGUCUCAGAUUUCACAUCAAGUUACUUGUAGGUUGUUUAUAAAAUUAAUAAUGAUAAUUCAACCAAUCAAUCAAUAUCACCUGGCAUAGGACUUAGAAAGUAAUAUAUGCUCAUAAGAGGGCAGCUAUUCUCAGCUAUUCUGGGACAGAAUUUCUCAGCUGUUUUCAGCCUAUAUCUUCUUGUAAUAAUGGAGAAAAAAAACCAAACAAAAUAUUUCCCUUCAAUGUUGCUCAAAAUUUCAUAAUAAAUUAUGUAGCCAAUAGAAAAGAAAUAAAAAACAUUGAAUUAUAAUAUUGAUUGUGCUCUUCAAACUUAUACUUGCCCCCUACAGAUUUUUUUUUUAAUGGAAAAGAAUAGCAAAGUAUAUUAGAAGGGAAGGGCACAGGAAGAAAGGAAGGGACCAUCCUCGGGGGUGAGAAAUUCCCCCAGAGAAUUUUAAGUUAUCUUCUCAAAAGUGAAUAUCACAGUUCUUCUGCUGGUAGACAGUCCCCAUCUUUUCCUCCCCUCCUCUUUUACCCCAUGAUAAUCAUGAGAACAGGGAUACAGUUGGCUCCAGAUCUGUCUUUGGCACCCAGGAAAGAGCUAACCUCUUAAUGGCUGUCUUACCCUCCCUCACCCACUGCGCCUCUGCUCAGAUUCUACUCUCCCUUCUCCUUGGUGACCUUGCAUCAUUGACUUCUCUUCCCAUCUAUGCCUUCAACAUCUCCCUUUGUUCUUAGAAUCACUAGAAAUAGUUGGCCUGGGGUAGUCCUAGGUUAUGCUGUGGUCCAGGCAUAAUUAUUAACAGUAUCCACUUUCACUCUCAAGAGUGUCUGGUUCGGAUGAGAAAUUGCAUGAUCCUCUUGUUUCUAUUUGUCAUUGACCUUCAGUCAUGCAGAUGCUCAAACCCUCCCAUCCUAAAAUACCCAACAUACACCAACCUCCCAAACCCACACUGAUCUCAUCUCUCUCCAUCCCUCCAUAGCAGCAGUACUCAAGAGCAGAGGCCUAGACCUAUUUUCCAUUUCCUUACCUGCCACUAUCCCUCUGGACAAUGGUCUUGUAUCCAUCCACGACUUAAUCUGAAGCUGCUUUGGCCAAGGUCACCCAGGGACCUGCUUGCUCAAUCCUUUGAACAGACGAAAGGUUGUGGUUAGGUGGUUUAUAAGCUCUUGCUCCAGUCCAAGUAAGAGGUUAUUCUUCUGAAAUACUUCCUGACUCUCAUCUUGUUAACCAAGACAGUUAAUUUUUUCAGGCUCCAUCAUCCAUGUGCACCAUGUCAUGUUACGCUACCUUCCCAUGUAGGUGUCAUCCCCCACUUUACACAAUGGCCAGGAGAGAAAUCGAAUCCUUUCCCAACUUUCUCCCAGUCAGUAAAUGAUGGGGCUGAGAUUCUGGUUUCCAAAAUGGAUCCUGUUAUUUUUUUUCACUGUGCUUCUCUCUCUCUCUCUCUUUCUUCUUACUACUUAAAUGCUAACACCUGUUUCCAUAUAACCAAUUUAUUAUAGGUACUAAAGACUGGUGAGCUGAUAUUUUGUAAAUAUGUAAAUUCUGCAAGUCAGAGCCACUCAGGGGUAGACACUGUCCUGUGGAAUACACCUAGGAGUGGUGACAGUUAUGGAUAUUUAAACCUGGGAUAAGGGAAGUAGCUGUUGCUGUGUAAGC
rnacentral:lncRNA from 1 species